rnacentral:rRNA from 1 species
GCGGCGUGCUUACACAUGCAAGUCGAACGAUGAAGCCCUUCGGGGUGGAUUAGUGGCGAACGGGUGAGUAACACGUGGGCAAUCUGCCCUGCACUCUGGGACAAGCCCUGGAAACGGGGUCUAAUACCGGAUGAUACUUCUUCCCGCAUGGGGGGAGGUUGAAAGCUCCGGCGGUGCAGGAUGAGCCCGCGGCCUAUCAGCUUGUUGGUGGGGUGAUGGCCUACCAAGGCGACGACGGGUAGCCGGCCUGAGAGGGCGACCGGCCACACUGGGACUGAGACACGGCCCAGACUCCUACGGGAGGCAGCAGUGGGGAAUAUUGCACAAUGGGCGAAAGCCUGAUGCAGCGACGCCGCGUGAGGGAUGACGGCCUUCGGGUUGUAAACCUCUUUCAGCAGGGAAGAAGCGAAAGUGACGGUACCUGCAGAAGAAGCGCCGGCUAACUACGUGCCAGCAGCCGCGGUAAUACGUAGGGCGCAAGCGUUGUCCGGAAUUAUUGGGCGUAAAGAGCUCGUAGGCGGCUUGUCACGUCGGAUGUGAAAGCCCGGGGCUUAACCCCGGGUCUGCAUUCGAUACGGGCAGGCUAGAGUGUGGUAGGGGAGAUCGGAAUUCCUGGUGUAGCGGUGAAAUGCGCAGAUAUCAGGAGGAACACCGGUGGCGAAGGCGGAUCUCUGGGCCAUUACUGACGCUGAGGAGCGAAAGCGUGGGGAGCGAACAGGAUUAGAUACCCUGGUAGUCCACGCCGUAAACGUUGGGAACUAGGUGUUGGCGACAUUCCACGUCGUCGGUG